UACGUAGGGUGCGAGCGUUAAUCGGAAUUACUGGGCGUAAAGCGUGCGCAGGCGGUUCGUUGUGUCGGCGGUGAAAGCCCCGGGCUUAACCUGGGAAUGGCCGUCGAAACUGGCGAACUGGAGUGUGGCAGAGGGGGGUGGAAUUCCGCGUGUAGCAGUGAAAUGCGUAGAGAUGCGGAGGAACACCGAUGGCGAAGGCAGCCCCCUGGGCUGACACUGACGCCUCAGGCACGAAAGCGUGGGGAGCAAAACGG
rnacentral:rRNA from 1 species